GAGAUACGAAACAUGUCCCGAUUCAUACAUUUAUUUUCAAUUUUAAAAUGUUUGAUAUGAAUUUGUUGAUACGACUGAGCCUAGAAGAAGACAUAGAUUUUUAGAAGGCCGAGAUCAAGGAUUUUUUAAAAUAUUUGAUAGUAUUCCAUCUUAUCCUGACAAAUUUCGUCAGAUGUUCCACAUGCAUGUGGAAACAUUCAACUACAUUCUUAUAAAUUUGGAGUCUAUAGACACCGCUAUAGUUAAACAUAAAAACUAUUAGUAUGAAGCAACGUCUCUAUAUAACACUCAUAUAUUUGACAACUGGUAUGAGCUUUAGAAAAUAGCAUUAUAUGCAAAGACAAAUAUUACAAACACUAUGCAAAUAGUUAAGGCUGACUGCCUUUUGCAUAAUAUUAUUAUUGAUCUUGAGGGAAAUGAUUGUACACCAGUACAUGAAGAAUAUCCAAUUUCAAAUUUUACCCAAUCUCAGUUCCAGUGAUGGAAUGAGAGCUCUAAUAAUAUCAGAGAAACAUUUAACUUAUAUGUAAAUAAUUAUAUGUAAAAUUUUUGUAUACAUUUAUUUUUUAAUUCUCAUAACCUUAUAUCUCUUAUGAAUGUUUUCAUU